GAGCCAGUAGUGUAAAGCGUAGCAUCGCUGUCUGAAACGCAGACGGUGCAGGUUCGGGUCCCGUCUGGCGCA
rnacentral:tRNA from 1 species